rnacentral:lncRNA from 1 species
GUAUAGUAAUGACUGAGUCCAUGCAAUUUUCUUUGCUGCUUUGCUCAUGAAUUUAUACUCUGCUUUUACAAUCGAUGUUGCCAUUGUAGGCUAUAACCUACUUUUUCACAAGAUUGAUACUUCCUAAGUUUAAUAAAUAUGCUGCUUGUUGACUUCUUGCCAUCUAGAUCAUGUACCUAAUUAGAGCUAGAGAAUGCACCAAGUUGCAUUUUAUUUUGCUCUAAUAUGUCCUCAUUGCUUAUGCCUUAGAAAUGUUGUAAGACCUUUUUUUCCAUAUUUAUAUAAGUUUAGAGUGGCCUUGUCAUAAAACGACUAAAAACACUUACUAUGUACAAUAAAUCUAAUCUAAUGUGUGUGACAAAUAUCA